rnacentral:rRNA from 1 species
CCGAUGGCGAAGGCAGAUCUCUGGGCCGUAACUGACGCUGAGGAGCGAAAGGGUGGGGAGCAAACAGGCUUAGAUACCCUGGUAGUCCACCCCGUAAACGUUGGGAACUAGUUGUGGGGUCCUUUCCACGGAUUCCGUGACGCAGCUAACGCAUUAAGUUCCCCGCCUGGGGAGUACGGCCGCAAGGCUAAAACUCAAAGGAAUUGACGGGGACCCGCACAAGCGGCGGAGCAUGCGGAUUAAUUCGAUGCAACGCGAAGAACCUUACCAAGGCUUGACAUACACGAGAACGGGCCAGAAAUGGUCAACUCUUUGGACACUCGUG